rnacentral:rRNA from 1 species
UACAGAGGUGGCAAGCGUUGUUCGGAAUUACUGGGCGUAAAGGGCGCGUAGGCGGUCUUGUAAGUCUUGUGUGAAAUCCCUCGGCUUAACUGAGGAACUGCACAGGAUACUGCGAGACUUGAGUUCGGGAGAGGGAAGCGGAAUUCCGGGUGUAGCGGUGAAAUGCGUAGAUAUCCGGAGGAACAUCGGUGGCGAAGGCGGCAUCCUGGACCGGUAUUGAUGCUGAGGCGCGAAAGCCAGGGGAGCAAACGGG